rnacentral:rRNA from 1 species
GACGUAGGGCGCGAGCGUUGUCCGGAUUUAUUGGGCGUAAAGAGCUCGUAGGCGGCUUGUCGCGUCGACUGUGAAAUCCCGCGGCUCAACUGCGGGUCUGCAGUCGAUACGGGCAGGCUAGAGUUCGGUAGGGGAGACUGGAAUUCCUGGUGUAGCGGUGAAAUGACGCAGAUAUCAGGAGGAACACCGGUGGCGAAGGCGGGUCUCUGGGCCGAUACUGACGCUGGAGACGCGAAAGCCGUGGGGAGCGAACAGG